CUCCUACGGGAGGCAGCAGUAGGGAAUCUUCCGCAAUGGACGAAAGUCUGACGGAGCAACGCCGCGUGAACGAUGAAGGUCUUCGGAUCGUAAAGUUCUGUUGUUAGGGAAGAACAAGUACCGUACGAAYAGAGCGGUACCUUGACGGUACCUAACGAGGAAGCCCCGGCUAACUACGUGCCAGCAGCCGCGGUAAUACGUAGGGGGCAAGCGUUGUCCGGAAUUAUUGGGCGUAAAGCGCGCGCAGGUGGUUCCUUAAGUCUGAUGUGAAAGCCCACGGCUCAACCGUGGAGGGUCAUUGGAAACUGGGGAACUUGAGGACAGAAGAGGAGAGUGGAAUUCCACGUGUAGCGGUGAAAUGCGUAGAUAUGUGGAGGAACACCAGUGGCGAAGGCGACUCUCUGGUCUGUUUCUGACGCUGAGGUGCGAAAGCGUGGGUAGCAAACAGGAUUAGAUACCCUGGUAGUCCACGCCGUAAACGAUGAGUGCUAGGUGUUAGGGGGCUUCCACCCCUUAGUGCUGAAGUUAACGCAUUAAGCACUCCGCCUGGGGAGUACGGCCGCAAGGUGAAAACUCAAAGGAAUUGACGG
rnacentral:rRNA from 1 species